rnacentral:rRNA from 1 species
AGAGUUUGAUCAUGGCUCAGAGCGAACGCUGGCGGCAGGCCUAACACAUGCAAGUCGAACGAACCCUUCGGGGUGAGUGGCGGACGGGUGAGUAACACGUGGGAACGUACCCUUUGGUUCGGAACAACACAGGGAAACUUGUGCUAAUACCGGAUGUGCCCUUCGGGGGAAAGAUUUAUCGCCAUUGGAGCGGCCCGCGUUGGAUUAGCUAGUUGGUGGGGUAAAGGCCCACCAAGGCUCCGAUCCAUAGCUGGUCUGAGAGGAUGAUCAGCCACACUGGGACUGAGACACGGCCCAGACUCCUACGGGAGGCAGCAGUGGGGAAUCUUGCGCAAUGGGCGAAAGCCUGACGCAGCCAUGCCGCGUGAAUGAUGAAGGUCUUAGGAUUGUAAAAUUCUUUCAGCAGGGACGAUAAUGACGGUACCUGCAGAAGAAGCCCCGGCUAACUUCGUGCCAGCAGCCGCGGUAAUACGAAGGGGGCUAGCGUUGCUCGGAUUUACUGGGCGUAAAGGGCGCGUAGGCGGAUCAGCAAGUUAGGGGUGAAAGCCCGGGGCUCAACCUCGGAACUGCCCUUAAAACUGUUGACCUUGAGUAUGAGAGAGGUGUGUGGAACUCCGAGUGUAGAGGUGAAAUUCGUAGAUAUUCGGAAGAACACCAGUGGCGAAGGCGACACACUGGCUCAUUACUGACGCUGAGGCGCGAAAGCGUGGGGAGCAAACAGGAUUAGAUACCCUAGUAGUCC